rnacentral:tRNA from 1 species
GGCAGUGUAACAUGAUAAUUAAGACCAGUUUAGAACCACACUGCCUGGGUUCAAAUCCCAGCACUGCCG